rnacentral:rRNA from 1 species
UGCCAGCCGCCGCGGUAAUACGGAGGGUGCGAGCGUUAAUCGGAAUCACUGGGCGUAAAGCGUACGCAGGUGGCAAAGUCAGUCAGGCGUGAAAGGCCUGGGCUCAACCUGGGAACUGCCCUUAAUACUGACGAGCUUGAGACCGAGAGGGGGUGGUGGAACUCCCAGUGUAGAGGUGAAAUUCGUAGAUAUUGGGAAGAACACCGGUGGCGAAGGCGACCACCUGGCUCGGAUCUGACGCUGAGGUGCGAAAGCGUGGGGAGCAAACAGGAUUAGAUA